UACGGGGGGGGCAAGCGUUGUUCGGAAUUACUGGGCGUAAAGGGCUCGUAGGCGGCCAACUAAGUCAAACGUGAAAUCCCUCGGCUUAACCGGGGAACUGCGCUUGAUACUGGAUGGCUUGAGAUUGGGAGAGGGAUGCGGAAUUCCAGGUGUAGCGGUGAAAUGCGUAGAUAUCUGGAGGAACACCGGUGGCGAAGGCGGCAUCCUGGACCAAUACUGACGAUCAGGUGCGAAAGCGUGGGGAGCAAACAGG
rnacentral:rRNA from 1 species